UCCAGUAUAGUGUAAUGGCGAACAUACCUCGCUUUCGCCGAGGAGCUCAGGGUUCGAUUCCCCGUGCCGGAC